CCCCUCUCAGGGUCGUACCUGAAGAGUUUCCAGUACUCUAUCAGUCUCCAUUAUGGGAGGGAGAGUCAAACAGAGGCAUAUCCAUUCCAUUCCUAGCUUGGGCAGUGCCUAGCGAGUGGAAGGCAAUCCGGUACAAAU